rnacentral:tRNA from 1 species
AGGAAAUAGUAUAGUGGAAGUACCGGGGGUUUUGGGCCUCCUAGUGCAGGUUCGGAUCCUGUUUUUCUA